rnacentral:rRNA from 1 species
UUGAACGCUGGCGGCAUGCUUUACACAUGCAAGUCGAACGGCAGCGGGGGCUUCGGCCUGCCGGCGAGUGGCGAACGGGUGAGUAAUGCAUCGGAACGUACCCAGUCGUGGGGGAUAACUACGCGAAAGCGUAGCUAAUACCGCAUACGCCCUGAGGGGGAAAGCGGGGGACCUUCGGGCCUCGCGCGAUUGGAGCGGCUGAUGUCGGAUUAGCUAGUUGGUGGGGUAAAGGCCUACCAAGGCGACGAUCCGUAGCUGGUCUGAGAGGAUGAUCAGCCGCACUGGGACUGAGACACGGCCCAGACUCCUACGGGAGGCAGCAGUGGGGAAUUUUGGACAAUGGGCGCAAGCCUGAUCCAGCCAUGCCGCGUGAAGGAUGAAAUUUUUCGGAAUGUAAACUUCGUAAAUUAGGGAAGAAUAAGGUCGUUCUAACACAACGAUUGAUGACGGUACCUAAUGUAAGCCCCGGCUAACUCCGU